CGCGUAGGCGGGUUCGCAAGUCUGUGGUGAAAGCCUCCAGCUUAACUGGAGAAGUGCCGUGGAUACUGCGAAUCUUGAGGAGGGUAGGGGCAUCUGGAACGGUCGGUGGAGCGGUGAAAUGCGUUGAUAUCGACCGGAACUCCGGUGGCGAAGGCGAGGUGCUGGACCCUUUCUGACGCUGAGGCGCGAAAGCCAGGGGAGCAAACGG
rnacentral:rRNA from 1 species